rnacentral:rRNA from 1 species
UACGAAGGGGGCUAGCGUUGCUCGGAAUCACUGGGCGUAAAGGGCGCGUAGGCGGCCAUUCAAGUCAGAGGUGAAAGCCCAAGGCUCAACCUUGGAACUGCCUUUGAUACUGUUUGGCUUGAGACCGGUAGAGGUAAGUGGAACUGCGAGUGUAGAGGUGAAAUUCGUAGAUAUUCGCAAGAACACCAGUGGCGAAGGCGGCUUCCUGGACCGGUUCUGACGCUGAGGCGCGAAAGCGUGGGGAGCAAACAGG